UGUGCUGAGUUUCCUUCACAGAGCUCAGAUACCAUCGAGCCUGAUUAAAGAAUGAUCAGAAAUCUCUUACAAAUGCAUACGAAAUAUGACAGUAAUUUUCUGACGUCAGACUUUUGUGAAUUACAGAUGUUCAUCAUUAUGAACAAAGAACAUAAACCCCCUUUUUCUUGGAGCCUAUAAAGCAUGUAAAAACAUUCAGAUGAGUUGUUAAUAAAACAUUUCAUUAUCCCACUUGAUAAAACAAAUUGUUAUCCAAUCAACAAGAUGCAGACUAACAUAGAGUGAUUGCAGCCCUUGUCUAAUUAUGCACACCCUUAUAAAUGGGAGGAGAUAAGGGUUUAGAUCUCUAUGAUGGAGACAAUUGGUAUUUAUAAUUUAUAGCACCAUGAAGGAUGCAACUUAGAAGUAUAUCAAAGGAUCACCCAUCUGUUUUAUCCUAUGGCUCUACACAAUGUAUUUACAGUGCUGAAAUAUUCCACUUUGAUAUCCAGACCUACUUCAGAAUGCAGCAUUGAAGGAAAAAAUCAAAGCAACUACACCUCUCUUCAACAGAAAUGAGGUACUCAAUAGCAAUGAACAAAGGCGCUGAGCAUCUUUAGGUUGAAGCCAUCAUGAAACACUCAAAGUUCACUCUAAAUCAUAAGAAGGGGAGUCAUUCAAUUUCUCACAGCUUUAGAUUUCUACCCAAGUCUACACCAGAAUAUGCCAAUAGCAGUUGUAGGAUUUUUAAUCAUCGAAUUGACUUCGUGAGAUGCUGAGAGUCACAUAAGCGGAUUAUAUUAAUGUAAUUUAAAUAAAAUCAAUUUGGGAUUAUG